GAUGAAGAACGCAGCGAAAUGCGAUAAGUAAUGCGAAUUGCAGAAUUUCCGUGAGUCAUCGAAUCUUUGAACGCACAUUGCGCCCAUUGGUAUUCCGAUGGGCAUGCCUGUUCGAGCGUCAUUUCACCACUCAAGCCUGGCUUGGUGUUGGGCGACGUCCCCUUUGGGGACGCGCCUUGAGACGCUCGGCGGCGUGGCACCGGCUUUAAGCGUAGCAGAAUCUUUCGCUUUGGAAGUCGGGGCCCCGUCUGCCGGAAGACCUACUCGCAAGGUUGACCUCGGAUCAGGCAGGGAUACCCGCUGAACUUAAGCGUAUCAAUAAGCGGAGA
rnacentral:misc_RNA from 1 species